UAAGAUCUAGUUAUCUACAGCCCUUAUCUACAGCCCUCUUACAUAAACAAUGACGUCCGAGUUUAUUAAGAUCUAGUUAUCUUAAGACCAUGACGUCCGAGUUUAUUAAGAUCUAGUUAUCUAAAGGCCUCUUACAUAGACAAUGACGUCUUAGUUUAUUAAGAUCUAGUUAUCUUAAGACCAUGACGUCCGAGUUUAUUAAGAUCUAGUUAUCUUAAGACCAUGACGUCCGAGUUUAUUAAGAUCUAGUUAUCUAACACAUGUACGCAGCUUCUUUCAAACAUUUUCUUUACAUUAACACUGAUAACAUCAGACCACUAGAAUCAAAGAUUAACUACCGUCAUGUGGCGCGUGGUUACACAACAUUUAAUCAAACGAUCACUAUUUGACUACACACAGAUAUUAUUAUGCAAUCAGGACAUAUACAAAAAGACUAAUGUGCGUUAGGGGAAAUGAGGUAGAGAUCAUUUUAAAAUUAAUGAGGUUUGUCUGUAAACUUAGUGAAAGAUUGUAAGAAUAUUGAAAUCUGGUGAAAAUAGGUUCGCCAGCUGACAAUCUCUUAACAAAGAGUGAUUCUGUGUCAGAAGAAUUUCAAUAUGAACAUGAAAUGAUAUCUUGAUUAAGAAUAUGACGAUUCCCUGACUGAAUACUAAACCAUUCUGGUCUUAUCAUUGUUACUGGUUAUUUCUAUAUAUUUGAAUAUAGUUUCACUUUUAAGGAAAUUGAUAUAAUAACGUAAGAUAUUCGCAGUUAAUACUUUGAUCUCAUUGGUGGGCCUGCCACACACGAUCAUUGGGGUGUGCCUGUAUUUUUGUACCUUUGAUCUUAUUGGUGGUCCCGCCACUUAUAAUACACAAAAUGUACCUGGAGAAGUACAAAAUGAAUUGAGCUACAUCCAUUAAUACAAAUAAAACUUGUAAUAUUAUCAUUAUUUGCUUGGAAGCAUCUGAAAAAAAAGAAGAAAAAAAUUUCAUCAAACAAAAAAUUUUGUACCUCUAAAGAAAGCAUCCGGCAGUUUCCUCCAACUUUCCUUGGCAAAUUUAGUUGGAAAAUUGAAUCUUCUAAAAUACACUUGGCACAUGAUAAUUAGUAAAAAUAUUAAGCUGUGUAACUGAAUACAUGUCUGUUACUUUCAUCUGUUAGAAUAUAAUUCGGAUGAUCAUAUGCGAAAACAAAUAUUUUGAUUAUGUAUAUUUUUCUUUCCUUUUUUAAACUUAAGAAUUAAUACCAGGGUAUAUUUAUCCGUCUAAAAUAUACAACAUUACUGGACUAAUUUUAUCAUCAACACACAAUGUGAUUUUGAUUUCAUUUUAAUUUUUGGCGUCAGCUAUAAUUCUGAACUAGGGCUAUAGAAAACACUAUUCUUCAGAACACUGUGAACUUCUAAACAUGAAGUAUUUCACAUUAUACCACAACUUUAACAUCACACACACCGCGUUGAGCGAUAUAAUUUGAUUUCUGUUAGACUUCUUACUGCUUAACCGAUAACUUACAAUUAUAUACACCAAGAUUUUAACCUCGUUAUCAUUAUUUUUAUGUUUGUGUGUUACUAAAAACCAUCGCUUUUUUCUAUACAAAGAUUUUCUGAAAUAUUUCAAGAUAUUUUUGUGGUAUUUCCAGAUAUAUUUUGUGUGUAACUGAAAAAACAUAAUUCUUGUACUAUUCAAAUAUUUUGUGAAAUAUUUUCCAUAUAUUUAUUGGUAUUUUCCAGAUAUUUUUUGUGUAACUGAAAAAACGUAAUUCUUACUAUACAAAUAUUUUGGGAAAUAUUUUCCAGAUCUUUUUGUGUGAAACUGAAAAUCUCAACCCUAAUUACUUACUAUACAAGUAUUUCGUGAAAAAAGAUUUUUCCAGGUAUUUUUUUGUGUGUUACU